rnacentral:rRNA from 1 species
CCCUUAGAUGCUCUGGGCCGCACGCGCGCUACACUGACCAAUGCAACGAGUUUCUUUCCUUGGCCGACAGGUCUGGGCAAUCUUUGAACAUUGGUCGUGAUGGGGAUAGAUUCUUGUAAUUUUUGAUCUUCAACGAGGAAUUCCUAGUACACGCAAGUCAUCAGCUUGCAUGGAUUACGUCCCUGCCCUUUGUACACACCGCCCGUCGCUCCUACCGAUUGGGUGAUCCGGUGAAUUGCUUGGAACAGCCACGGCGUUCUUUGAACGCUGUGGAGGUGAAAAGUUGUAAACCUUAUCACUUAGAGGAAGGAAAAGUCGUAACA